rnacentral:rRNA from 1 species
UACGUAGGGGGCAAGCGUUGUCCGGAUUUAUUGGGCGUAAAGAGCGUGUAGGCGGCUUUACAGGUCCGUUGUGAAAACUCGAGGCUCAACCUCGAGACGCCGGUGGAAACCGUAAGGCUAGAGUCCGGAAGAGGAGAGUGGAAUUCCUGGUGUAGCGGUGAAAUGCGCAGAUAUCAGGAAGAACACCCGUGGCGAAGGCAGCUCUCUGGGACGGUACUGACGCUGAGACGCGAAAGCGUGGGGAGCGAACAGG